UACCAAACCUUUUUGUCAGGGUGCUUCUCUAUCCGUUUUAGGAUAAACUUAUCUACAGAAGUGUCUGUUACUGUUUUGGAAGAGUAAUACUGUUCGCUUAUCCAUAUUUCCCCGUUCUGGGGAAGCCUCAUGGGUAAAUUAGAAGGACAACCUUUGUUUUAAAGGUAUACCUUCGCUUUUUAGAACAGCGAGGAUCUUAUGAGUUGAGCUUUUGUUAUUUGAGACUUUAUCUCGGGCUCCAUACAAUAUGUUCGUAGUAAAGAUCCUCACAAUU
rnacentral:snoRNA from 13 species